UCUAAGGGGGAGUGAGGGAUACAGAAAGGAUGGGCGUUCUUUUUCAGAUUGAAUAGAUAAAAUGAGCAUUUUGUGGAAGGGGGAGGUAAAGAAAAAAAGGCACGUUUGGCUUUUAAUUGGGACGGAGGAGAAAUGAGACCAUACUUGCCUUGGCUUCAGGGACAAAAAAAAAAAAAACAGCUUGCAACACACAAAACAAAAAUCCCAGGACCAGCGUCUUUGCAACAUGGUAACGCAAUGCAUUUAUGUUCUAAUAUCAGCAGAUUUUCUUUGGCACUUACAAGAAAGGGUGGAGGGGUGGUGAUUCAUUCUCUAUCCUGUUUCUGCAAGUACUGAGGCUGCAACAAGGGAUCAUGGGAACUUCUGUGACUGCCUGUUAAACGUUGUUUAUAUUGCUGUGAGUUGCUAAGCUGCAGUUCCGUUCCUGUGCUCUGGGUCGGAGUCAGCGGCUGGCACGGGAACAGAGGAUUCAGAGAGAGCAGGGUUGAAAAGACGCCGUCUGAGCCAGGUAAAGGACACCAAUUGUCCCUUGGGCAAAAUAUUGUACCCCAGCUGCCUCAAUUGCUCCAAUUAGAUCCCUGCAAUUAGUGUACUGCAGUCUCCUUGGAUAAAACACAUUUCUUCUAAAUACCAGGUAAUCCAAUACAUACAAAGUCCUUGUAAACUCAUAAUUGCCCUGUAAAGAUUAUACUUUUUUUGGUAUUUUCUUUUCAAAUCCCAGAUCCUCAAUAAGCUACAGACCCAUUUGAACUCAACAGCCUCCUCUUGUGAUCACAUGGAACAGUUCCAGCCAGUGCAAGUGGGAUAGGUGGAUCUUACCUGCUCACUUCUCUGCCUCGGAGUUGAAUUAACAUCUAAGAAAUAUAUCCGUGUGCAUGCUGAUUUAAAGAGCCCCAAAGGUAAACAUUCAGAAUGGGUGCAGGUUUUAUUGCAGACUCGACUGCUUUUAGUCUCACAACCGAACUCCCUCGCUCCUAUUACUAAAGCUUAGGACCACCAAUGUCCAAAAAUAACCAAUUCAUUUCCCCACGGCAUAGGCUGAGACAAGAGGCACAGAGAAAAUGGGAGCGUGGAAAAAGAAAAUGGAAUGAACGGAAUGAUCUGCGUUCAUGGGCUAAUGACACAACUUUGAUCUUCUGAUCAUUUUCAGCAGGUUUCAGAGCUGGUGUCCUAAUUUUAAACUAUGGGAGAUUUUUUUUUCCAGCUGAGGUUUUUCUUUUUCCCUUCGAUCUAAACUAUAGCUGACAACAAUUAAGGAACUGCUUACCCGACGACUUUCACAAAAUCAGAGACACUUAAAGGACAAUUCAAUUAUCAAGGACAUGCCGAUAUGAAAGUAAAAAAGUAAGAAAGAUUCUCACGGGGGAAAGAAAACGAGGCCAAAUAAAUCAGAGGAGACAAUCAUAGAAAUUGUGCAUGGGGGAGGCAAGAUAUGCAUUUAUAUGAUAUCUAAUGUACCAUAUGGUGAUCUAAUGUAUUCUUGUGGUGAUGCACACCUGAUGCAGAAGGAGGCAAAGUCCUGUUUGAGGAGCCCAUAAAGAUUAGCUUCAAUCAGAUGGGUUUAGUUGCAAUAGGUAAACACCGAAGCAUUCCCGACCGAUGAGAUCACUCCCAUGUGUGUGUAUGUCCAGAGCAAACAUUUACUCCCCCUGACACCACCACCCUCUGCCUUUUUCCCCUUUGGCCCAAAGUAAGUGAUUUUCCAGUCUGCCCUUGAUGGUUAAGAGACUGGAGAUUUCUAUACGAGGCCUCCUCUCUAUCAGAUGCACAGAUCAUGCCAAACAUUUGGAAUAGGUGCUGGGAUUUCACAAACGGCCUAUUUGUCAGACAUUGAAUGCACACAGAUGCAUUCACUAAGAGAUCAACUUAAAGAUAGAUGAUUUUAACUACUUCAUUUUAACAAACGAUUAGACAGACAGACAGAAAGUAAGAAAGAAAGAAAGAAGGUGGAGGUCAGCAGGGGCUUGUGGAUCGUGUUAAUAGCUGGUGGUUAUUAUCCUGUGAUCAUCAAGAUGAAUAAAGCCAUUUCUCAUGUCAUGUAAUGGUUUAAGAGGCUAAUGAUGGAGCAAGGGCAGUCUCAAGGCUGCAUGAGGCACUAAUGCCCAAAUUGUAUUUAACAUGGUGGAACAGAGGUGGAACUUUAUAGCUAUGAGGAGCCAGCAAUCCAACAACUGCCUAAAUGCACCCAGAUGCAAAACCUGCUUUAUGAACAUGGCCUUCAUAUGCAAGAUAAAGUUUUAAAGACUGGCAGAGUUUGAGAGUUGGCUGAUCUGGAUUUUUUUUUUUUUUUUUAAAGACAGUGGGAACAGGAAAAUCUGGAGUGAAGCCAGUUCGUGUUUUUGCUCCACUCAGCAAAGCAAGGAUAACUCAAAGCUGAAAGCAUGGAACUCGCUGGAGGAGAAAAGUGUAAUAAAAUUUCAGUGAAUAUAUAUAUAUAAAAUUGUAUAUCAAAUUAUCUUUUUCUGUUAUUCUGUUUGUCACUGUCACAACUAUUCUCAUAAUAUUAAAGGUUUUUCAAAUGAAAAUGACAAACUGAUGAAAUUGAACGAGGAAAUGUAACUAACUCAAGGCUUUAAAUGAGGUGGUGGGGCAUAGUGAUGCCUUAAGUUCAAAGUGGACAUGAUAUAAUUUUACACAUCUGCUUUCAUGACUGGCACUCUGGAUUUCUGAGUUAAUUAAUUGAUUGGAUCAGAGUGGGUAUAAUCAAAUAAAAUUUUAUAACUCUAUAAUAAAAAACAACACUUUAGAAGGAGGCAUGUGGAAAAAAUGAUAGCAUCUCCAUUUUUCAAAUUAAUUGAAUUUUAGUACUUCUGAACUUGGUCCAAGGCAUCUCAUAAGCAAUAACUCAACACCAUCUUUAAAAUGGCUCCAUGACUAAAGAUAUUCAAAUGCACACACACUUUCAGUUCCUUGUUUUCUGGGAGAAAACCACCACAGUUUAUAACAAGUAUCCGAGAGCAAUCAAUUGCCAGUAUUUUCCAUAUUAUAUUCUCCAGUAGUUGCACUGCCUAAUAAAGUUCUCACCAAGAGUAAAAGCUAAAAUAUUAAUUCCAUCUUCAGCAGUGCUGAUUGCAUUAAAAAACGUCUGUUUUAUUAUUUAGCACAGAAAGGAAAAUCUUUGUUAAAGUGACUUGAAUGCAAAUUGAUAUCACUAGA